rnacentral:rRNA from 1 species
UACGUAGGGUGCAAGCGUUAAUCGGAAUUACUGGGCGUAAAGCGUGCGUAGGCGGUGUCUUAAGUUUGUUGUGAAAUCUCCCGGCUCAACUGGGAGGGUGCGGCGAAUACUGAGAUGCUGGAGUGCGGGAGAGGUAAGCGGAAUUCCUGGUGUAGCGGUGAAAUGCGUAGAUAUCAGGAGGAACACCUGCGGUGUAGACGGCUUACUGGACCGUAACUGACGCUGAGGCACGAAAGCGUGGGUAGCAAACAGG